AGCAACACCUGAUUCCCUGAGUGAGGAAAUGAGUCUGCUGUAUGAAAGCAGGAACCUUCUACCUCUGGUUUCAGGAAACCUCCUGUGCUCAGAGGUAAGUGGCUCCUGAGGAAAUAUGUGAAGCAUUCCUGCCAAAGAAAACCCAGGAACACAGAGGACUAAGGAGGAAGGGCAGUCCUUUUUCACUUUGGUUUCUGCCAGUUUGGCCUUGCUGUAGUUGCUGUUGCUCUGCUACCCAGAGAAAUCCGGGGAAAGAACAAAAGAGAAAAACAAGUCAGGUUUGGAGCUUAGAGAUGAAGAUGGGAGUUCCAGGAGGACUGAGGCCCAUCUUGGAGAUGAAAUACUUCCUGGCGAAGGCAAGCAUAGCCUUUAUUUUGCACACUUCAAGUCAGAAGCCUCAAAUCACCUUCUGCCCUUGACCCUCCAAGCCCACUUUCACACUCCCUCCCCGCUUCGCUCCCCGACCCCACCCCAUCACCACUCUGCUACUCGCAACGCUGCCUGGUCGCACCCAGGAACCAUCUUUGUGGGUGGGGUUCCUCGUCUCCGCGGACAGGCUGCUAGUGAGCCGCAGCUCCUCCAUCCGGAAGCCAGGGAUCUUCAUCUUGCCGCGGAGUUCCAUGCUGCCGUCGCCCCCAGUCUUCAGGGACUUUGCGCUCCCGCAGGCUCCUGCUCACCUCUCCCAUCGUUGGGCGCUGGUGGCACCCCAGGAGGAGAGAGGAGCAGCAGGAGCCCGGUCUCGCAGUGCCGGCACGGACAGUACUCUGGGGGUCUGGGCCGCGUGCCACGAGGAGCAGAGGAGCCACCGGAGCCGCUUCCGCAGACGCCCUGACACGGAGGACCCAGAGCGCCGCGCCGCGCCGCCGAGGAACGCGCUCACCGGCGCCAAAUUUUCCCAUCCCGGGAGCGAGGGCGGCGGCGAAGGGUCCGGGACCCGAGGUUGAGGUCGAACUGCAAGCGCCACGGACCCUGCCUGCUGUUUACUGCGUUUUCACUGGAGACUCCAGCAAAUGUCCUGGAGAGGAGAGGGAUUCCUGCUCUGUCCAUUUUAGUCUCUACAUUGGCACCUUGGUGUAAACCCACAGCAGAGGCUGCGUGUCCUGGCUGAGAAACACAGAAGGGCAGCGGGGACGGAGGUGGGGCCGUGUGCAGAUGAAGUAUGUUUAUGAAGUACAUGAUUGUGAGCGUCAGCGUAUGUGUGUUUAGGGUUUUUCCCAUCAGUCUCCAGCUUUGCUCCCUUUUCUUGACCUUCUGUAGCACUCACUCUGCCCAAAGCCAGUCUUGCGUAAUCCCAUUUGAAAGAGCACUUUGUUACUAGCCAUAUUCUAAAUGUUUUGUGAGCCUACACUAUGGCUUUAGAAAAAAAAACCACACACACCACACUAGGGGAAAAGAAAGGAACUCAAAACUGUGGCUUGGGAACAUUUUCAUUUGGAGCACACCAAUUAGUCCCAGGGUUUAGCUCUAAACCCAAGAUUCCGUAGGAAAUCGGACAUCUAUUGGAGACUUAUCUACUACGUUUGUUAUAUGACUGUUAAACCAAUUCAUUGACCUGUAUCACAUUCCCCACCUCAACCCUUGAAGCAGCUGGCAUGCCGUCUGAAAUCUUGGAAUAAACUUUGCAUAUGGUUAGCAAUCUUCUAUUUGUGUAUGAAGGUGCUCACCACUAAUAUGCUGUGAGUUCCUGAGAAUCACCACACUUGGUUGCUUAAAGUUUGAAAAUGACCAAGUUGUAACUGAGGAACUUUUCUACAAAUUAAGGAACAGUACGUUCCAAGUGUCAACGUCACGAAGUUCUUUCAUGACUUAGGAACUGUCCCAGAUUGAAGGAGAUUUAGGAGUAAGAAAAUACAUCCUAUGAUCCUGAAUUAGAUCCUAGUCCAACAAAAGGACAUUAGGUCAAUUGGCAAAAGUUGACUAAGGUGUGUAGAAUGGUCAUAUCAUAACUUUUUAAUUUCCUACUAGUUUUGAAGUUGAACUGUGGUUGUGUCAGAUGUUUGUGGAAGCAGAAUAUAAGGUAUGUAAGAAAUUUUAAAAAUAGUCUUUUUUAAAUGACAAUAGAAAAUUUGGUCUGAUAAACAUAAAAGGAUUGGAUUAAAUGACCUGGAAAAUCUUUUGAGCCUAAAAUUCAAUUGUAUUACAAAAAUAUGUGCCAAGCCAGGUCCCCUGCUGCUGGCUAGUAUAAAGUUCAAGUGGAGAUUUUAGGAAGGAAAAGGAAAUUUGAAAAUUUCAAAUUAUUUUUUUAAGCUUAAACCUUUUCCAGUAGAUAGUUUUAUUUCAGAAGGAUGAAAUGUCUUCAGAUUCCUUUGCGGUCUUUACAAAACUAAUAACACUCUUGUAUGUAUUAGUCAACAAUCAAAUAUCCAAAAGAUAACAGCUGUAACAAAAUAGUAAAAAUUCUAGUGUGUGUGUGCACGGACACAUAACUCAUUUCCUUCAUGGUAACUUCAUUAAAAUUCUCAAUCUGUGAUCGGACCACUUUGAAGAGUAGCUGUUAAUAAGUCAGCUUUUACUAACUUGUAAUGGGAAAGUUUUAUACGCAAGCUUUCAUAAAAUAUGCUUUUGGAAGAUAAAUUUCAUUCCAUAGACCAUUCUAAGACACAAAAGCAAAUGCCAGCAGAUCAACUAUCUCAGCCUUUAAAUUUCAGUGCUUCCAUGAAGCACAGUGUCCUAAAUGGUAAGCUGGCUAGUUCAGUCAUGAAAAGAACAUGGAAUAUGCCUCCAAAAAUACCUUUACUACCCAAGAGUAAGGGCUUAUCUUUGGAAAAUAAACCUGCAC
rnacentral:lncRNA from 10 species